CUUUCUUCCUUUUCGUGAGCCUUCUUUACGUCUAUCAGUCUCUGAACUCAUUUUACCCAACCCUACUUCUUUCCCGCGUCGUUCAUCUACGUUUCUUGGAUUUCAGUUCGCGUCUCGAACGUUGUUCUUCACGUUUUCUGGACUUCAAACAAGGUAUAGAGUUCUCACGCAAGGAGCAUGGCAAAGGAGGAGGUUUGGGUUCGUUUUUGGUAAAGAAGAAACGCAAGUUUCGGCGGCCAGGCGCGACCUCCAUCCUCACCGCGCGGUGGGUACCACGGCGGUGAUUUCUUCGCGGCGCGGGGAUGAGCUUCGCCAGAUAGGGUUCGAAUCGUGUUCUUUUCUUUUUUUGAUUCUUGUGAUUUGGGGGUUAGGAUUUCGAAGGAGGUUUUGAAAAUUCGUGUUUGCUGUAAUUUAUGAAAACUGGUAAACCUUAUCAUUCUUCAAACCUAAACUUGUGGAGUGGUAGAGCUUGAAAGUAGGCAAAGUUGACUACCAUUAGGCAUUUUGCCUUGUAGAGAAUGUGAGAGUGUCUCUUGGACGUGACCCUAGAAUUACAGGUCAAAACUGAGUGUUGCAGUUUUUCAGGUCUUUCUCGUGCAGGUUGCAUGGUGUUUGACAUGGGACUAGCUACCAUACCAGGUUGUUUCAUGAGCACAAUAUUGUCUCCAUUUGCCUAUGAUGGUUCAAUCAUGGAUUUUCUACAAUCCAUGAACUCAAAUGAAUGCUGCUUAUGACACUAGACUUGAAGACUAGUACUGAGAAGCUUAUAAUAUGGAUGUGAUGGUUCUGUCAUAAUCAGAGCCUAACACAAAUUUUUUACCAAGAGAGGUGGAUUGACUUCAACAGAGGUGGAGGAAAUAUGUGAUAAAGCUGCUCGAAAAUAUGCAAAUAUAGGAUGACCAAAGUCUCUGCUUUGCUUAGUGUCAUUCCAACAAAAGUUGAUUUUAUGAGCACUUAUGCAAUGCACCUACGAGAAAUAAUCAAGGAGAGAAUCGAUCAUCCUCUGUAUCCUGACACUCCACUUCAGGGAUUUCAGAUACUAUGAAGGACUUCAAAAGUGUGUUGGACUUUAUUUAAAAGAUGGACAGUACUCGUCAAUUAUAUUAGGCCUCUCUUAACUAAGGGCGUCCCCUCUCUGUUCUCUGAUCUAUCAUCUUUGUACAAUCACCCUGGGAAGGAAUACGACAGAGAGAGUAAGAAUUUGUAAGCAAUGGCACAAAUGAAUGUCUGAAACUAUUUCAAGUCACUAAACCAAAUGUUGAAACAUGUCCCAUACAUCUGGGACUGUUUAGAGUGACAUGUAUCUUCAUUAACAUUACAAGUCAAUGAAAUGAAGACAAUUAUGACACUUUUGUUGCAAAAUUAUCAAGGUCCAUUGCCUUCACAAUUUGUAGUAUUUAAAAGAUCAUCGGUAUCUGAUCAAGGAAGUGGGCCAAACAAUGGAUGUAAUGAAGAAAAAAAUUAGAUAUUGUUAUUGAAUACUUUUAUGAGUCAUACUUUUAGUAUUGAACAUCUAUAUUGAACAUAUGUAAUGAACCUUUCUUUUUAAUUUUUAUGUAUGAACAAUUAGUUGUAUGAAUGAUAUUAGGUUGAACAAUGUAGUUUAUUUUAUACAAU